rnacentral:rRNA from 1 species
UACAGAGGGUGCGAGCGUUGUCCGGAAUCACUGGGCGUAAAGGGCGCGUAGGCGGCUUGCUAAGUAGGGGGUGAAAUCUUGCGGCUCAACUGCAAGGCUGCCUCCUAAACUGUCAGGCUUGAGCACAGUAGAGGCAGGUGGAAUUCUCGGUGUAGCGGUGGAAUGCGUAGAGAUCGGGAAGAACAUCGGUGGCGAAGGCGGCCUGCUGGGCUGUUGCUGACGCAGAGGCGCGACAGCGUGGGGAGCAAACAGG